UAAACGACUCUCGGCAACGGAUAUCUCGCGUCUCGCAUCGAUGAAGAACGUAGCGAAAUGCGAUACUUGGUGUGAAUUGCAGAAUCCCGUGAACCAUCGAGUCUUGAACGCAAGUUGCGCCCAAAGCCAUUAGGCCGAGGGCACGCCUGCCUGGGCGUCACGUA
rnacentral:rRNA from 1 species